UACGUAGGGGGCAAGCGUUGUCCGGAAUCAUUGGGCGUAAAGAGCGCGUAGGCGGUCCGGUAAGUCGGUUGUGAAAACUGGGGGGCUCAACCCUCAGAGGCCGACCGAUACUGUCGGGCUAGAGUCCGGAAGAGGCGAGUGGAAUUCCUGGUGUAGCGGUGAAAUGCGCAGAUAUCAGGAGGAACACCAAUGGCGAAGGCAGCUCGCUGGGACGGUACUGACGCUGAGGCGCGAAAGCGUGGGGGAGCAAACAGG
rnacentral:rRNA from 1 species